rfam:Rattus norvegicus chromosome 19, whole genome shotgun sequence.
GGGGAUUUGGCUCAGUGGUAGAGCACUUGCCUAGGAAGCGCAAGGCCCUGGGUUCGGUCCCCAGCUCCA